CUAUGGGACCCAUUGUACUUCUAAAGACUAUCCGGUAUCUCCUUUGAGGAUAGUCAACAGCCUGCUCAUCAGGAUCUGGGACUUCCAAAGUAGUGCCAUGUGGAGCUUUAAUUGCUAUCAAGGUUUCAUUCUGGAAGCAGGGUAAGCUCUUGAUGUCUUCCUCAGUGACAAAAAGCCACUUUUGAUUAUUUUCAUCUUCACUGAGGUCCCUUAAUCUUUCUUGCACUACUCUGCAAUAAAUUUGAAAAAUCAGCACAAACCAAAAGUUGCUACCAAGCAACAUGUGGGAGUUGCACGUACACAAGGAAAAAUUACAUAACCUUAUUUGUUCAUCUAAUCUGUGUUCCUCAAUGUUAAGGUUUUCAACUUCUGCCUGCAAGGGGGGAAAACCAUUUAGAAAUAUAAUGCCAAAUCCUAUCCCUUAGAACGACUUUCAUUCCAAGUUCUGUUGAUAGACAAUACAAAUGGUGCAUGAAUCAUCAUUUCCCAAUAUUUUAAACAAUGGGAUAUUAACUAAUUCAGUGAAACUAAAAGAGCUUCACUCUAGCUAAUUAUAGUGAAUAAUAACCAUUUAGCUGAUCUGCACAUUUCUAAAUUCAAACUUGAUUCAUUGUGAUGGUGGGAGGUAUCCCCUAGAAAUCUGAAUUAGGGCACUUUGCUGCAGCUAACCACAAAUAGUUAAGACAAUAUAGUCAAAAUCUAUGCAAUAGUAAUUUACGUUGGUUUCCACCAAGAACUUUUCUUCCAGAUGGCACCAAAAACACCUGCAAAGGUUUUCUGGAAACAUUUCGAUAAUGGAAAAAUAAAGACAAAAGAAACACCAGAACAUAAAUUAGAAACAUGCUAUGCCAAAAGUUGUGAAAACCUAAGGUCUUCCAAAAGUACAUUUGUCAACAAGCAAAUUGUCAAAUAAUGCAUACCUGCAAACUAGCAACAUUCUCAUCUGCUUCCCCUGGCCUUGAGACAUCAAGUCCCCUAAUAAUAAACUAUUCAGUUACUUGUCAAAUGCAAAAUUAAUUGAUAGCUACUCAUUAACUAAUGCCAUUUUAGACAUAAGUUACAUCAAAUGAGAAAAAAAGAAUAAAGAGGGAAAAGGAGGAAGCAGUAUUUACAUACUUCCACUGAAUUCUGUUCUUGAGCUUCUUUUCUAUGAGACCAAUUCCUUCGAGAACAUUUGUUAUGUCAUAAAUCCGCCGCUUUUGCACCUCCAAAGUGUCAGCAGCUUUAUUAAGAUCAAGAAUACCAUCUUCAGCGUGUUUGAUCAAAUUGAUGAACUUUUUUGUCAAGAGACCUAGGGAACUGUCAUAACGACAGGGACCAGUUGGAGUAAGAUUAUUUCCAGGAGAACCAAGAUUCAAAGCGGUCUGGGAUCCAGAUUUACUGCUCUUUGAAAGCCUAGAUGUUUUGGGUGCCUUUCCACCUUUUCCAGACACAGGUGUCUGGAGGGGACUGUUAUCUACUUCUGUGAAGCCAGCACUAGUGUUCCACUCAUUGGACUCAGCUUCAUUAUAUGCUGCAUCACUCUUCCGUUUUAAUGGAGGAGGUUUAACAACGAUGGCCUCAACUUCAUGAUCAGCAACUUGGCGGGGCUCAGUGCUGAACCGGUGAUAGUCACCAGGAGCCAAGAAGGGCGGCUUCAUAGAAGAGAAAGGAGGCUGCCGUUUUAAGGGAUUCUGCAUGGCGUUUAGCUGCGGCUGCCUUGUCGAUGGAUUUGGCAGUUGGGAAUUCGACAUCGGCCGAAAAAUACUGAAAAACAAGUAUAAAAUAACCAAAAUGGAAAAAUUUCAAGGGUUUUUGGCGACUUUAGGUAGAAAGGGAGGAUCUAUAGAAAGAGCGGGCUUAAGAAAUGAAAGAAAAGGAUUCGUGGAAUUGGAGAAUAAUUGGAUGAGAAUUGGAGGAGAGAUAUGUGAGUUUGGUUUGGGGGAGAGAUGGA
rnacentral:misc_RNA from 1 species